UAGGGAAUCUUCCGCAAUGGACGAAAGUCUGACGGAGCAACGCCGCGUGAGUGAAGAAGGAUUUCGGUUCGUAAAACUCUGUUGUUAGGGAAGAAAAAAUGUAUAGUAACUAUAUACAAAAGAGACGGUACCUAACCAGAAAGCCACGGCUAACUACGUGCCAGCAGCCGCGGUAAUACGUAGGUGGCAAGCGUUGUCCGGAAUUAUUGGGCGUAAAGCGCGCGCAGGUGGUUUUGAAAGUCUGAUGUGAAAGCCCACGGCUCAACCGUGGAGGGUCAUUGGAAACUAAUAAACUUGAGUGCAGGAGAGAAAAGUGGAAUUCCUAGUGUAGCGGUGAAAUGCGUAGAGAUUAGGAGGAACACCGGUGGCGAAAGCGGCUUUUUGGCCUGCAACUGACACUGAGGCGCGAAAGCGUGGGGAGCAAACAGG
rnacentral:rRNA from 1 species